UACGUAGGGUGCAAGCGUUAAUCGGAAUUACUGGGCGUAAAGGGCGCGUAGGCGGGAUGGCAAGUCGGUCGUGAAAUCCUUCGGCUCAACCGAAGAACGUCGAUCGAUACUGCUGUUCUUGAGGGUUGCAGAGGAGACUGGAAUUCCCGGUGUAGCGGUGAAAUGUGUAGAGAUCGGGAGGAACACCGGUGGCGAAGGCGGGUCUCUGGGCAAUUCCUGACGCUGAGGCGCGAAAGCGUGGGGAGCAAACAGG
rnacentral:rRNA from 1 species